GCCCCCAUAGCUCAAUGGAUAGAGUAGGCCCGUCCUAAGGGCAAGAUGCAAGUUCGAUUCCUGCUGGGGGCA
rfam:Microgenomates (Woesebacteria) bacterium GW2011_GWA2_40_7b TT12_C0002, whole genome shotgun sequence.